GACGAACGCUGGCGGCGUGCCUAACACAUGCAAGUCGAACGGGACCGGGGGCAACUCCGGUUCAGUGGCGGACGGGUGCGUAACACGUGAGGAACAUGACUUUCGGUGGGGGAUAGCCGGCCCAACGGCCGGGUAAUACCGCGUACGACCUUUCGGGGACAUCCCCGAUUGGUGAAAGCAGCAAUGCGCCGAAAGAGUGCCUCGCGGCCUAUCAGCUAGUUGGUGGGGUAAUGGCCCACCAAGGCGACGACGGGUAGCUGGUCUGGGAGGAUGGCCAGCCACAUUGGGACUGAGACACGGCCCAGACUCCUACGGGAGGCAGCAGUGGGGAAUAUUGCGCAAUGGGCGAAAGCCUGACGCAGCGACGCCGCGUGUGGGAUGACGGCCUUCGGGUUGUAAACCACUGUCGGGAGGGACGAAUGCCCCGCAAGGGGAGUGACGGUACCUCCAAAGGAAGCACCGGCUAACUCCGUGCCAGCCGUCGCCGUAA
rnacentral:rRNA from 1 species